rnacentral:snRNA from 1 species
UGAUCCCAUCUGUGCCCUUCAA